CACGUAGGGCGCAAGCGUUGUCCGGAAUUAUUGGGCGUAAAGAGCUCGUAGGCGGUCUGUUACGUCUGCUGUGAAAACCCGGGGCUUAACCCUGGGCUUGCAGUGGAUACGGGCAGACUAGAGGCAGGUAGGGGAGAAUGGAAUUCCCGGUGUAGCGGUGAAAUGCGCAGAUAUCGGGAGGAACACCGGUGGCGAAGGCGGUUCUCUGGGCCUGACCUGACGCUGAGGAGCGAAGGCGUGGGGAGCGAACAGG
rnacentral:rRNA from 1 species